rnacentral:rRNA from 1 species
AAGGAAUAUUGGUCAAUGGACGCAAGUCUGAACCAGCCAUGCCGCGUGAAGGAUGAAGGUCCUCUGGAUUGUAAACUUCUUUCAUCUGGGACGAAAACGGGAUUUUUAUCUCAAUUGACGGUACCAGAGGAAUAAGCACCGGCUAACUCCGUGCCAGCAGCCGCGGUAAUACGGAGGGUGCGAGCGUUAUCCGGAUUUACUGGGUUUAAAGGGUGCGUAGGUGGGCUUAUAAGUCAGUGGUGAAAUCUCCGAGCUUAACUUGGAAACUGCCGUUGAUACUAUAGGUCUUGAAUUAUCUGGAGGUAAGCGGAAUAUGUCAUGUAGCGGUGAAAUGCUUAGAUAUGACAUAGAACACCAAUUGCGAAGGCAGCUUACUACAUAUAAAUUGACGCUGAGGCACGAAAGCGUGGGGAUCAAACA